rnacentral:rRNA from 1 species
AUUGAACGCUGGCGGCAUGCUUUACACAUGCAAGUCGAACGGUAACAGGGUGCUUGCACCGCUGACGAGUGGCGAACGGGUGAGUAAUGCGUCGGAACGUGCCGAGUAGUGGGGGAUAACGCAGCGAAAGUUGUGCUAAUACCGCAUACGUACUGAGGUAGAAAGUGGGGGACCUUCGGGCCUCACGCUAUUCGAGCGGCCGACGUCUGAUUAGCUAGUAGGUGAGGUAAAGGCUCACCUAGGCGACGAUCAGUAGCGAGUCUGAGAGGAUGAUCCGCCACACUGGGACUGAGACACGGCCCAGACUCCUACGGGAGGCAGCAGUGGGGAAUUUUGGACAAUGGGCGAAAGCCUGAUCCAGCCAUGCCGCGCGUCUGAAGAAGGCCUUCGGGUUGUAAAGGACUUUUGUCAGGGAGGAAAUCCCUAGUGCUAAUAACACUGGGGGAUGACAGUACCUGAAGAAUAAGCACCGGCUAACUACGUGCCAGCAGCCGCGGUAA